ensembl:misc_RNA Metazoa_SRP Metazoan signal recognition particle RNA
GCCGGGCGUGGUGGCGUGCGCCUGUAGUCCCAGCUUCCCAGGAGGCUGAGGCAGGAGAAUUGCUUGAAUCCGGGAGAUGGAGGUUGCAGUGAGCUGAGAUCACACCACUGCACUCCAGCCUGGGUGAUAGAGUGAGACUCCGUCUCAA